rnacentral:sRNA from 1 species
CUUGGUCAUUUAGAGGAAGUAAAAGUCGUAACAAGGUCUCCGUAGGUGAACCUGCGGAGGGAUCAUUACAAGAACGCCCGGGCUUCGGCCUGGUUAUUCAUAACCCUUUGUUGUCCGACUCUGUUGCCUCCGGGGCGACCCUGCCUUCGGGCGGGGGCUCCGGGUGGACACUUCAAACUCUUGCGUAACUUUGCAGUCUGAGUAAACUUAAUUAAUAAAUUAAAACUUUUAACAACGGAUCUCUUGGUUCUGGCAUCGAUGAAGAACGCAGCGAAAUGCGAUAAGUAAUGUGAAUUGCAGAAUUCAGUGAAUCAUCGAAUCUUUGAACGCACAUUGCGCCCCCUGGUAUUCCGGGGGGCAUGCCUGUUCGAGCGUCAUUUCACCACUCAAGCCUCGCUUGGUAUUGGGCAACGCGGUCCGCCGCGUGCCUCAAAUCGUCCGGCUGGGUCUUCUGUCCCCUAAGCGUUGUGGAAACUAUUCGCUAAAGGGUGUUCGGGAGGCUACGCCGUAAAACAACCCCAUUUCUAAGGUUGACCUCGGAUCAGGUAGGGAUACCCGCUGAACUUAAGCAUAUCAAUAAGCGGAGGAAAAGAAACCAACAGGGAUUGCUCUAGUAACGGCGAGUGAAGCAGCAAUAGCUCAAAUUUGAAAUCUGGCGUCUUCGACGUCCGAGUUGUAAUUUGUAGAGGAUGCUUCUGAGUAACCACCGACCUAAGUUCCUUGGAACAGGACGUCAUAGAGGGUGAGAAUCCCGUAUGCGGUCGGAAAGGUGCUCUAUACGUAGCUCCUUCGACGAGUCGAGUUGUUUGGGAAU